rnacentral:lncRNA from 1 species
UCCUUUGUUUUUGAAAUUUCUACAAUUGUUCUGGUCAUUUUUCUAGCCUUGGUUGAUUUUUGCAACAGUUUUGCAUUCUAAGAGUUUUUUUGCUUCAAUUCAUCUUGUAGCUCUUCUUUUUGAUAUUAUUAAGGUUGUUUUCUUUUUUGUCAUUUUUCUAGAAAAAAUGGCCAGGGGAGAUGGACAGUCUGGGAAAAUUCAAAAUAGAGGUGAUGAUUGUAUUGGUAGUGCUCCGUUGAGAGAGGCGGUGAAGGAUCGGAAAACUACCACGACAAAGUCUUCGAAAGGGGGAGUGAUGAGCUCGGUGUUAGUGUUAGCUACUUAGUGUUCCACAACAAAAUCAUGUAAUCUAUCCAUAAUAAAAGAAAAUUAAUUAGAGGAAAAUAAAGGACAUAAGUCUGGAUGAAUAGAGCGAGUGUUAGUGGCUAUAUUAGAUCUAGGACCAGUUGUUGUUAUUAUUAUUAUUUAGCAAGCUUUCUUCCAUG